UCGAACGAUGAACCCGCUUCGGUGGGGGAUUAGUGGCGAACGGGUGAGUAACACGUGGGCAAUCUGCCCUGCACUCUGGGACAAGCCCUGGAAACGGGGUCUAAUACCGGAUAAUACUGCGGACCGCAUGGUCUGCGGUUGAAAGCUCCGGCGGUGCAGGAUGAGCCCGCGGCCUAUCAGCUUGUUGGUGGGGUGAUGGCCUACCAAGGCGACGACGGGUAGCCGGCCUGAGAGGGCGACCGGCCACACUGGGACUGAGACACGGCCCAGACUCCUACGGGAGGCAGCAGUGGGGAAUAUUGCACAAUGGGCGAAAGCCUGAUGCAGCGACGCCGCGUGAGGGAUGACGGCCUUCGGGUUGUAAACCUCUUUCAGCAGGGAAGAAGCGAAAGUGACGGUACCUGCAGAAGAAGCGCCGGCUAACUACGUGCCAGCAGCCGCGGUAAUACGUAGGGCGCAAGCGUUGUCCGGAAUUAUUGGGCGUAAAGAGCUCGUAGGCGGCUUGUCGCGUCGGAUGUGAAAGCCCGGGGCUUAACCCCCGGUCUGCAUUCGAUACCGGCAGGCUAGAGUGUGGUAAGGGAGAUCGGAAUUCCUGGUGUAGCGGUGAAAUGCGCAGAUAUCAGGAGGAACACCCGUGGCGAAAGCGGAUCUCUGGGCCAUUACUGACGCUGAGGAGCGAAAGCGUGGGGAGCGAACAGGAUU
rnacentral:rRNA from 1 species